GCUGCUGAGGAGGUGGCACAUGUCCUGCUCUCCCCCAAAACCAAGAAUUGAUGGGAAAGUUCAGGCCCAGCUCUGAGCGCAUCCAGCAUGGCCUGGGCAGGGAAUAGUGGGGCAAAACGAACAGGAGCCUUCUCCAGCUGACGGGCAGUUUCUGGUUUCUCUCCCCAGAGUGCCAAAAUCUGAUCGGGUGGUGUUUAUCCAUGCACCCCUUGGCCAGACCCUCAUUAGAAGAGGUGUACUGUCAUCCUUGGAUGCAGGAUAUUCAUCUGCCCUAGAAGAAGGGAGAGAGCCACAGGCACACUUAGAUCCAGGGCCCUGGGAAAGAGAAGGAGCCCCUGGAGAAGCUGUACCAGAUGGGGCUGCUGCUGCAGGAGACAGCGAGGAUGACAUGAUGAUGACAACCUCUCCCUGGACCUGGCCACCAGCAGUUGAAGAGGAAGCAUUCUAGGUGGUCCAGUCUGGAUUGGGAAGUGCUUGGGACCAGCUGCAGCGUGGAUGGGCCGUGCCCUUGGAGCAGGCUGAGGACAUCGUUUGGGACCAGCUUUUCUUCCAGCCGUGGAUGGCGUGAGGUGGGUG